AUGCUGCCGCCACAGUUGAAAAUUUACGAGAAAAUACCCAUCCCAGAUCUGCCAGUGGUUUUUCCUCACAAAAAGCUGUCCUUCCGCAUCCUUGAUACAGUAAGGCUGGAUAUAGCUACAGUAAUAGGAUUGUUGGCAUAUGUUGUCAACUACAAAUUCGAGAGUUUAGCCUCAUCGCCGUCAGCUUUCCUUCUUGAUCUAGCUGCUUUUACUGCACUUGCAAUACUGGUGUUCCGUGUUACGCUGGGCUACAAACAGACCAGGGAUAGAUACCAGCUUCUUGUCAAUAAGACGCUCUAUGAGAAGACAUUAGCAAGAGGCUUUGGUUCAGUAUACUUUCUUGUAGAUGCUUCCGAGCAACAACAGUAUAAGGAAGCACUCUUGGCAUAUGCUAUGUUACUCGGCAGAAAUAAGUAUCAGGUGUCUUCUCGCGCAAGCAUCAGAGAUAUGUGCGAGCAGUUUAUGUAUGAGAAAUUUAAUGCGAAGAUUGAAAUGCCUAUCGACAAAGCUAUGGAGACGCUGCUGCGGUUGGGUCUGGUGGUCGAGCUGUCAACUAAUGGCAGCUCCUCCUCUGUAAUAGUCUGCUGGAACAUAAGACAUAACAAGGGUGACGAAACUACAGUGUAG
rnacentral:rRNA from 1 species